UUACGGUCAAAUCACGUUGAAAACACCGGUUCUCGUUCGAUCACCGAAACGUCAAUCGUAGAGCCAGGUCAGUACUUCUCGAUGGGGGACCGCUUGGGAACACCUGGU